CAUAUAUUACUUUUCCUCUCAACAAAAAAAAAAAAAAAAAAAAAAAAAAACAGAUUUUUUACUACCCAACAAUUAUUUUACAGCAUCUCACCAUCUACCCAAUUUCUAUGUGUUUAUAUAUCUCCUUUACAUUGGUAUUAUCAUUGUCCUCUGUUCUUUUGUUAUGAAAAGAUUUCACAAAAAAAAAGGUAAUUGUUCUAAUUCUUUUUCUAUUAUAUUAAUUAAUUUUGUUGCUGGUUGUUUUGAUUAAUUUUGUGCUUUUUGGAGAAAUAUAGAUUCAGAUCUGAUGUGGGGUCUUUUUAGAAUUGCUCAGAAGCUUUGAUUUCACUCUUUUUUUGUUCAAAGCUUUGUUUUUUUUUUUUUAUUUCUGCCAUCUUUAUCUAGUUGGCAUGUUUGGUGUGAUAGGGAUCUUGAUUACGUGCUUUUCACGUUCUUUGUCUGAAUUUAUAUGAUAUUUGUUCUAUAAAUUCAUGCAUUAAGCCUCUGAUAAUUAUAAUUAAUUUAAAAAGAAAAAAGCGUCUGAUAUUCCGCAAUUGUUUCUGUUAAGGGCUGCUUUCAUUAGCAUUGUAGACGAUCAGGUGAUUCAAAAUUGUAUUUUUUUCCUGAAUAUGGAAUCAAGUUGUUAGCUUUUUAUCUUCUGUUGAUGAAUAUUUGAUUUGGGUUUGUUAAUUCUCUGGAAAAGAAAAAACUUUCCGUUGUUGAAAUUUGAUUUGGGUGUGUAAUGUGUUCAAAUAGUGGAAACAAUUUGCAUUAGGGUAGAUUGUAUAUAUCAUACCCCUUGGUGCGGCCCUUCCCUGGAUCCUGCUUGAACGCGGGAUGUUUGUGCACCGGUUGCCCUUUGGUGCGCACUGUGUUGUUCAUUUUCUGCCAAAAAUAUAUUUUUUUUUAAACUUUUCUUGCUGUUAGAAAUUAUGAUUGAUUUGUUUGUGGCUGAAUGUUAAAGGUUCCUCCAUUUUAACCAGAGGUUACUUGUUCGAACCUGAAAAUGGAGUCUUAGGUAAAAAGCUAUGAUACCUAUGCCGGGCAUUUAGUGGCGUUAAUCUGGAUUAGUCGGACUAGUGAGUUUCAGUCGCCAAGAUGGUUGAAGGGCAAAAAACGAAAAAGAAUAAAGAGGAUUUUUUGGGAUUCAUGCAGCUGACACCAAUUAAUUUGUGAAGGGAGGUUUAGUUGAUUAUUGAUAUAUAUUGGCUAUUGGAAAAAUGAUGACAUUUAUCUUUUGAUAUUUUUAUUUUUCUUUGUGCGCGAAAUUCACUCUAUAAAUUUGUUAUGUGGUAAUACGUAAUAGUGCUGGUUCUGUUAUAGAGUUGUGAUACUUUGCUUGAAUCUUAUUUAGUUUUUUGGUUUUGAACUUUAGAUUUGGAUUUGAGUUCAAAAAUUGAAGUGAUCUAGACAUGGCUACCAAUGGAGACAACCAUGCUUCUGCAAAACCACCACCAGAACCUUCGCCAUUAAGAAAAGCAAAAUUUUUCCAGGUAUAUACUCUAUCUCGUUGAUGAUUCUUUUAAUGUUCUGCUUUUAUCUUGAUAUUUCUGAAAACAUACAGAGAAUCGAAGAAAAUUUAGAGAGAGAAAGUAGAGAGAAGGAGGAGAGAAU
rnacentral:lncRNA from 1 species